rnacentral:sRNA from 1 species
AUGCGGUACAGGUCUGACACACUUAUGGUGGGAGUCGUUACCGAAUCACUGCUGACGAAAUAAUAGGGGUUGUGAAGUCAGAUAAGCGCGGCAGCUUUUCGUCUGAUGUUGGAGCAAUGGUGUGUACCAAACGUGUUGCAGAUUGGGAGUCUUGGAGAGCCAUCCCCAAGGAGCUGAAGAUGCACAUGAUUGAUGAGUUAGCUCCAAUUGGGACAUUGACAAAAGUGGCCCAAAUCUGAUGAAGGUUAUCGACAACGUGUUCAAGUCGAGAUUCUGAGAGUGGAAGUUUGAUAAUGAACGCGCUGCAACACAACAGCAAUAACCAUCAAACCAACGGCAGAUGAGUAGAACAGGGUUUCUUAUUUUAAUUUUUUUUGCUUAUUUAAUAAUUUGAUAUGAAUUUUCAGUUUUUUUGUAUGAAAUUUUUUUAUUAAAUAUGUACUUAAU